rnacentral:rRNA from 1 species
UAGGGAAUCUUCCGCAAUGGACGAAAGUCUGACGGAGCAACGCCGCGUGAGUGAAGAAGGAUUUCGGUUCGUAAAACUCUGUUGUUAGGGAAGAAAAAAUGUAUAGUAACUAUAUACAAAAGAGACGGUACCUAACCAGAAAGCCACGGCUAACUACGUGCCAGCAGCCGCGGUAAUACGUAGGUGGCAAGCGUUGUCCGGAAUUAUUGGGCGUAAAGCGCGCGCAGGUGGUUUAGAAAGUCUGAUGUGAAAGCCCACGGCUCAACCGUGGAGGGUCAUUGGAAACUAAUAAACUUGAGUGCAGGAGAGAAAGGUGGAAUUCCUAGUGUAGCGGUGAAAUGCGUAGAGAUUAGGAGGAACACCGGUGGCGAAAGCGGCUUUUUGGCCUGCAACUGACACUGAGGCGCGAAAGCGUGGGGAGCAAACAGG